rnacentral:rRNA from 1 species
UACGUAGGGUGCGAGCGUUACUCGGAAUUACUGGGCGUAAAGGGUGCGCAGGCGGCCGCGCAAGUCGAGUGUGAAAGCCCCGGGCUUAACUUGGGAAUUGCGCUCGAAACUACGUGGCUGGAGUGUGGCAGAGGAAGGUGGAAUUCCAGGUGUAGCGGUGAAAUGCGUAGAGAUCUGGAGGAACACCGAUGGCGAAGGCAGCCUUCUGGGCCAACACUGACGCUCAUGCACGAAAGCGUGGGGAGCAAACAGG